UUGCAAGCCUCCAGCUCGCUUGGGUCUGGAGCGGCCCUGUGUACCUACGGUACUUGCAAGAACAGUUCUGAAAUGGUUUGAGGCCUUGCUCUACACCAUCUACAGAGCAAGGUUAUAGAAAUUUCAGACAGUU
ensembl:snoRNA small nucleolar RNA SNORA9